rnacentral:rRNA from 1 species
ACGAACGCUGGCGGCAGGCUUAACACAUGCAAGUCGAACGCCCCGCAAGGGGAGUGGCAGACGGGUGAGUAACACGUGGGAACCUACCCAGGGGUACGGAAUAACUCGGGGAAACUCGUGCUAAUACCGUAUACGACCUAAGGGUGAAAGAUUUAUCGCCCCUGGAUGGGCCCGCGUUGGAUUAGCUAGUUGGUGGGGUAAAGGCCUACCAAGGCUACGAUCCAUAGCUGGUCUGAGAGGAUGAUCAGCCACACUGGGACUGAGACACGGCCCAGACUCCUACGGGAGGCAGCAGUGGGGAAUCUUGGACAAUGGGCGCAAGCCUGAUCCAGCCAUGCCGCGUGUGUGAUGAAGGCCUUAGGGUUGUAAAGCACUUUCGCCAGGGAAGAUAAUGACGGUACCUGGAUAAGAAGCCCCGGCUAACUCCGU